rfam:Oryza nivara chromosome 9, whole genome shotgun sequence.
UUUAAGUGCAGCCAUGAGGUUCCGUGCCUAACUUUGAUCGUCCGUUUUAUUUAAAAAUUUUCAUGAUUAAUAUUUUUAUUGUUAUUAGAUGAUAAAACAUGAAUAAUACUUUAUGCGUGACUUAUGAUUUAAAUUUUUUUAAAAAAUAUUUUAAAUAAGACAAAUGAUCAAAAUAGGGUACGGAAAAUCGUGGUUGCACUUUGA